UGGUGGAGCGAUUUGUCUGCUUAAUUGCGAUAACGAACGAGACUCUGGCCUACUAACUAGAAGAAAGUUCUUCGAGACUGUCAUACUUCUUAGAGGGAUAAGGGGAUUGAAGCCCCAAGAGAUUGAGCAAUAACA
rnacentral:rRNA from 1 species